rnacentral:rRNA from 1 species
GACGAACGCUGGCGGCGUGCUUAACACAUGCAAGUCGAACGGAAAGGCCCUGCUUUUGUGGGGUGCUCGAGUGGCGAACGGGUGAGUAACACGUGAGUAACCUGCCCUUGACUUUGGGAUAACUUCAGGAAACUGGGGCUAAUACCGGAUAGGAGCUCCUGCCGCAUGGUGGGGGUUGGAAAGUUUCGGCGGUUGGGGAUGGAAUCGCGGCUUAUCAGCUUGUUGGUGGGGUAGUGGCUUACCAAGGCUUUGACGGGUAGCCGGCCUGAGAGGGUGACCGGCCACAUUGGGACUGAGAUACGACCCAGACUCCUACGGGAGGCAGCAGUGGGGAAUAUUGCACAAUGGGCGGAAGCCUGAUGCAGCAACGCCGCGUGCGGGAUGACGGCCUGCGGGUUGUAAACCACUUUCGCCUGUGACGAAGCGUGAGUGACGGUAAUGGGUAAAGAAGCACCGGCUAACUACGUG